GUGCCAGCAGCCGCGGUAAUACCGGCAGCUCAAGUGGUCGUCGCUUUUAUUGGGCCUAAAACGUCCGUAGCCUGUUUGGUAAAUCUGUGGGUAAAUCAACGAGCUUAACUCGUUGAAUUCUGCAGAGACUGCCAGACUAGGGACCGGGAGAGGUAUGAGGUACUCUGGGGGUAGGGGUAAAAUCCUGUCAUCCUCAGAGGACCACCUGUUGCGAAGGCGUCAUACUGGAACGGAUCCGACGGUCAGGGACGAAGCCUAGGGGCACGAACCGGAUUAGAUACCCGGGUAGUCCUAGGUGUAAACGCUGUGGAUUUGGUGUGUGGGGUCCGCAAUGGGCCCCAUGUGCCGGAGUGAAGAUGUUAAAUCCACUGCCUGGGGAGUACGGUCGCAAGGCUGAA
rnacentral:rRNA from 1 species